rnacentral:rRNA from 1 species
CAUGCUUUUGACGGGUAACGGGGAAUUAGGGUUCGACUCCGGAGAGGGAGCCUGAGAAACGGCUACCACAUCCAAGGAAGGCAGCAGGCGCGCAAAUUACCCAAUCCCGAUACGGGGAGGUAGUGACAAGAAAUACCGAUUCAGGAUCUUAUUGGAUCUUGAGAUUGGAAUGAGUACAAUUCAAACCCAUUAACGAGGAACAACUAGAGGGCAAGUCUGGUGCCAGCAGCCGCGGUAAUUCCAGCUCUAGUAGCGUAUAUUAAAAUUGUUGCAGUUAAAACGCUCGUAGUUGAACUUUGGGCUUGGCUGGCUGGUCCGCCUCACCGCGUGCACUGGUCCGGCUGGGCCUUUCCUCUUGGGGAUCCACAUGCCCUUCACUUGGGUGUGUUGGGGAACCAGGACUUUUACUUUGAAAAAAUUAGGGUGUUCAAAGCAGGCAUUUGCUCGAAUACAUUAGCAUGGGAUAAUAGAAUAGGACGUGUGGUCUUAUUUUGUUGGUUUCUAGGACCGCCGUAAUGAU